CUCACCACACCUCUGUGCGGAAGCGCACAGCACGGUUACGAUUCUAUAGGUGGCAGUAGUGCGACAUUGAGAAUGCAAUCCACCGCAAUCUUCCACAGACGAAGACCCACUACAGGACUGCACGACAAUAGCCAACCAGCUGGUUCGUAGCGUAGUAGAACCAUACGUCUACGAUCCCGAAUCUGACCCUGAAGCUGAAGAGGAGGCUGUUGAAGUCACCACAGUACAGCUGAUGCAAGAUGUGUCUCAUUGUUGUUACAGGUAUCUAGUCUACAGAGGCUAGUGAGCUGGUGAUGGGGAUUCCUGGGAUGAAUAAUCUGAGUUGCCAUCUCUUCAUGCUCGGGUUGUAGAUGAAGGCAGAGUUUCUUGAUGGAUAAAACACUAAAACACUCAUUGUAUGAUGGAUGUAGACCACCUGUGGAAUAACUCCUUUACCAUUUGAGUAAAAAUGUGUUUUUUGUGAGUGCAAUACUCAUUAAGAUUUUUUUAAUUUACAUAUAAUUUAUGCUUUUUAUUUAUGUCCGGUUCACCUUUAUAGUUUACCAUAUUAGAAAGAGAAAAACAUGUAAUUUCAAUACUAUGAUUUCCUGAAUAAAAAUGUUUCCCUUCAGAAA